AUGAACGCUAGCUACAGGCUUAACACAUGCAAGUCGAGGGGCAGCAUGGUCUUAGCUUGCUAAGGCCGAUGGCGACCGGCGCACGGGUGAGUAACACGUAUCCAACCUGCCGUCUACUCUUGGACAGCCUUCUGAAAGGAAGAUUAAUACAAGAUGGCAUCAUGAGUCCGCAUGUUCACAUGAUUAAAGGUAUUCCGGUAGACGAUGGGGAUGCGUUCCAUUAGAUAGUAGGCGGGGUAACGGCCCACCUAGUCUUCGAUGGAUAGGGGUUCUGAGAGGAAGGUCCCCCACAUUGGAACUGAGACACGGUCCAAACUCCUACGGGAGGCAGCAGUGAGGAAUAUUGGUCAAUGGGCGAGAGCCUGAACCAGCCAAGUAGCGUGAAGGAUGACUGCCCUAUGGGUUGUAAACUUCUUUUAUAAAGGAAUAAAGUCGGGUAUGCAUACCCGUUUGCAUGUACUUUAUGAAUAAGGAUCGGCUAACUCCGUGCCAGCAGCCGCGGUAAUACGGAGGAUCCGAGCGUUAUCCGGAUUUAUUGGGUUUAAAGGGAGCGUAGAUGGAUGUUUAAGUCAGUUGUGAAAGUUUGCGGCUCAACCGUAAAAUUGCAGUUGAUACUGGAUAUCUUGAGUGCAGUUGAGGCAGGCGGAAUUCGUGGUGUAGCGGUGAAAUGCUUAGAUAUCACGAAGAACUCCGAUUGCGAAGGCAGCCUGCUAAGCUGCAACUGACAUUGAGGCUCGAAAGUGUGGGUAUCAAACAGGAUUAGAUACCCUGGUAGUCCACACGGUAAACGAUGAAUACUCGCUGUUUGCGAUAUACUGCAAGCGGCCAAGCGAAAGCGUUAAGUAUUCCACCUGGGGAGUACGCCGGCAACGGUGAAACUCAAAGGAAUUGACGGGGGCCCGCACAAGCGGAGGAACAUGUGGUUUAAUUCGAUGAUACGCGAGGAACCUUACCCGGGCUUAAAUUGCAGAUGAAUUACGGUGAAAGCCGUAAGCCGCAAGGCAUCUGUGAAGGUGCUGCAUGGUUGUCGUCAGCUCGUGCCGUGAGGUGUCGGCUUAAGUGCCAUAACGAGCGCAACCCUUGUUGUCAGUUACUAACAGGUUCCGCUGAGGACUCUGACAAGACUGCCAUCGUAAGAUGUGAGGAAGGUGGGGAUGACGUCAAAUCAGCACGGCCCUUACGUCCGGGGCUACACACGUGUUACAAUGGGGGGUACAGAGGGCCGCUACCACGCGAGUGGAUGCCAAUCCCCAAAACCUCUCUCAGUUCGGACUGGAGUCUGCAACCCGACUCCACGAAGCUGGAUUCGCUAGUAAUCGCGCAUCAGCCACGGCGCGGUGAAUACGUUCCCGGGCCUUGUACACACCGCCCGUCAAGCCAUGGGAGCCGGGGGUACCUGAAGUGCGUAACCGCGAGGAGCGCCCUAGGGUAAAACUAGUGACUGGGGCU
rnacentral:rRNA from 1 species